CGUUCAUUUGCACCAGAUUUCAAUCGACUAAAAAUGAUUAAAAAAAAAAGUUAUUUGUACUUAUUUAUCGGAGUUUUUAUACAGAGGUAUAACCUAGAAUGUAUAUUUACCGAUUUACCAGUCGGUAAUAUCUUCUUGUAGAAAAGCCGGUAGAGGUGGUGACACCGGUUUCGCAGGUUUUAGUUGAUUUUAUGAUGGUGAGUAAUGGUGAACUCAUCAAUUCAUUUCAGUCAUCCAAUUUCCAAUUAUUGAAAAAUAAUUUAUGUUCUUUAUCGAAUUUUCUAGAUACAAUCAGAGGAUGCCUGGGAUUAAAGUAUAAAAUAAUAAUUUAAAACAGUAAAUUUAAUUGAAUAAUAAAUACUUAACAAUAUCUAUC